AGAGUUUGAUCAUGGCUCAGGACGAACGCUGGCGGCGUGCCUAACACAUGCAAGUCGAGCGAGAAUACCUUCGGGUAUUCUAGCGGCGGACGGGUGAGUAACACGUGGGUAACCUGCCUUACACAGGGGGAUAGCCUUCCGAAAGGAAGAUUAAUACCGCAUAAGAAGUGAUUAUCGCAUGAUAGUAGCUUUAAAGGAGCAAUCCGGUGUAAGAUGGACCCGCGGCGCAUUAGCUAGUUGGUGAGGUAACGGCUCACCAAGGCGACGAUGCGUAGCCGACCUGAGAGGGUGAUCGGCCACAUUGGAACUGAGAGACGGUCCAGACUCCUACGGGAGGCAGCAGUGGGGAAUAUUGCACAAUGGAGGAAACUCUGAUGCAGCAACGCCGCGUGAGUGACGAAGGCCUUCGGGUUGUAAAGCUCUGUCAUCUGGGACGAUAAUGACGGUACCAGAGGAGGAAGCCACGGCUAACUACGUGCCAGCAGCCGCGGUAAUACGUAGGUGGCGAGCGUUGUCCGGAAUUACUGGGCGUAAAGGAUGCGUAGGUGGAAACAUAAGUCAGAUGUGAAAUACCCGGGCUUAACUUGGGUGCUGCAUUUGAAACUGUGUUUCUAGAGUGCAGGAGAGGAAAGCGGAAUUCCUAGUGUAGCGGUGAAAUGCGUAGAGAUUAGGAAGAACACCAGUGGCGAAGGCGGCUUUCUGGACUGUAACUGACACUGAGGCAUGAAAGCGUGGGGAGCAAACAGGAUUAGAUACCCUGGUAGUCCACGCUGUAAACGAUGGGUACUAGGUGUGGGAGGUAUCGACUCCUUCCGUGCCGCAGUAAACACAAUAAGUACCCCGCCUGGGGAGUACGAUCGCAAGAUUAAAACUCAAAGGAAUUGACGGGGGCCCGCACAAGCAGCGGAGCAUGUGGUUUAAUUCGACGCAACGCGAAGAAUCUUACCAAGGCUUGACAUGUAUAUGAAUAUCUAAGAGAUUAGAUAGGCCUUCGGGACAUAUAUGCAGGUGAUGCAUGGUUGUCGUCAGCUCGUGUCGUGAGAUGUUGGGUUAAGUCCCGCAACGAGCGCAACCCUCGUGGCUAGUUGCCUGAAAAAGGAACUCUAGCCAGACUGCCGUAGUUAAUACGGAGGAAGGUGAGGAUGAUGUCAAAUCAUCACGUCCCUUAUGUCUUGGGCUACACACGUACUACAAUGGCUAUUACAAAGAGAAGCGAAACCGCGAGGUGGAGCAAAACUGAAAAAGAUAGCCCUAGUUCGGAUUGGAGGCUGAAACUCGCCUCCAUGAAGCUGGAAUUGCUAGUAAUCACAGGUCAGCAUACUGUGGUGAAUACGUUCCCGGGCCUUGUACACACCGCCCGUCACACCAUGAGAGUUGAGAAUACCCGAAGCCCAUGAAUAGUGGUCGAAGGUAGGCUCAAUGAUUGGGGUGAAGUCGUAACAAGGUAACC
rnacentral:rRNA from 1 species